rnacentral:rRNA from 1 species
UACAGAGGGUGCGAGCGUUAAUCGGAAUUACUGGGCGUAAAGCGCGCGUAGGUGGCUAUGCAAGUCGGAUGUGAAAUCCCCGGGCUCAACCUGGGAACUGCAUUCGAGACUGCAUUGCUCGAGUAUGGGAGAGGGAAGUGGAAUUUCCGGUGUAGCGGUGAAAUGCGUAGAUAUCGGAAGGAACAUCAGUGGCGAAAGCGACUUCCUGGACCAAUACUGACGCUGAGGUGCGAAAGCGUGGGGAGCAAACAGG